CCUGACUGCUAUCGGAUUGAUACUAAGCCAUGCUAGUCUUUGUAGUAAUACAAGGCAUACGGCUCAGUAACGCGUAGUCAACCUACCCUAUGGACGGGGAUAAUCUCGGGAAACUGAGCAUAAUACCCGGCAGACCACUUAUCCUGGAAUGGUUAGUGGUUAAAAUGAUUCGUCGCCAUAGGAUGGGACUGCGGCCUAUCAGCUUGUUGGUGAGGUAAUGGCCCACCAAGGCGAUUACAGGUACGGGCUCUGAGAGGAGAGGCCCGGAGAUGGGUACUGAGACAAGGACCCAGGCCCUAUGGGGCGCAGCAGGCGAGAAAACUUUGCAAUGUGCGAAAGCACGACAAGGUUAAUCCGAGUGAUUUCUGCUAAAGGAAUCUUUUGUUAGUUCUAAAAAUACUAGUGAAUAAGGGGUGGGCAAGUUCUGGUGUCAGCCGCCGCGGUAAAACCAGCACCUCAAGUGGUCAGGAGGAUUAUUGGGCCUAAAGCAUCCGUAGCCUGUUCUAUAAGUUUGCGGUUAAAUCUAUACGCUCAACGUAUAGGCUGCCGUAAAUACUGUAGAACUAGGGAGUGGGAGAGGUAGACGGUACUCGAUAGGAAGGGGUAAAAUCCUUUGAUCUAUUGAUGACCACCUGUGGCGAAGGCGGUCUACCAGAACACGUUCGACGGUGAGGGAUGAAAGCUGGGGGAGCAAACCGGAUUAGAUACCCGGGUAGUCCCAGCUGUAAACGAUGCAGACUCGAUGAUGCAUUGGCAUAUAGCCAGUGCAGUGUCGCAGGGAAGCCGUUAAGUCUGCCGCCUGGGAAGUACGUACGCAAGUAUGAAACUUAAAGGAAUUGGCGGGGGAGCACAACGAAGGGGUGAAGCCUGCGGUUC
rnacentral:rRNA from 1 species